UAUGAAUUUACAGAAGACAGCCUGAGCUUAAAUAGUGUAAGGUGCUGGGGUUAGUUGAAAUCACAGUUCGUACCAACACAGCAGUAUGUAUGUCGUGUAUGGGUGGAGAGUUUCUUUACUGAAAAUAUUUAAAGGCAAUAUUUAAACAUAAUGCAACUAUAAGCACAAGAGACUCCUGACUAAUCUUCCCAGCAUGCCGAUAUACACAUUAACAUGGACAACCACAUAGGUAAAUGAAUGUUGGAUGCAUGGAGAGGAAUGAGGUAUACUGCUAAGUUUUAUAGAAACGUGGGCUAUGCAGCAUUACCUGGAUUACAGUAUAUCACUAUCCCAUCUGUAUGAUAGGUGUUUGAGUCCCUGUACACUCCAGGAGAGCUGCUGGGUAAAGGAGGCUUUGGGAGUGUCUGUGCAGGAGUCUGUAAGGCUAAUGGAAAACAGGUUGCCAUUAAAUAUGCGGGAAAGGAAAUGAACAAAGAUUUCAUCACCAUUCCUGGAGAGACAAAGUGCCUUCCCCUGGAGAGUGCAUUAAUGCAAAUGAUGUCCAAGGCAAAUCGGCAUGAGAAUGUCUUGGAGCUGUUCGAGUGGUUCAAGAUGUCAGACUGCUACAUUUUGAUGUUAAAGUGACCCAGCCCCUGCACAGACCUCUGGCAAUUCCAGGAAAACCACAAUGGUUGGCUGUCAGAACCACUGGCACAACAAUUCAUGCAUCAGGUGGUUCAGGCUGCUCACCACUGCUGUGAUUGUGGUGUCCUGCACCAUGACAUCAAGCCAGAGAAUAUACUAAUCAACACAGACAUGCUGCAGCUUAUAGACUUUGGCUGUGGUGAUUUGUGCAGGACAACCCCUACAGAUA